AGAGAUGGCUGCUGAUCAAGGAGUCACUCCAUCAAUAUAAUGCUCAAUGCUAGGGAGAAGUGUUAAUAUUGCUGCUUUACUUUGCAUCCUGGAUGCAUAGAGUUCACUUAAUCACUUUGGGUUUGAAAGCAUCCGUGAGCAUUAAGGUUAAGGAAUCAAGUCCCACUGUUCAGGUAUUGUUCUCAGCCUCUGCUAGUCAGUGGGCUAAAAAAAAAAAACAUCUCCAUAAAUGAUUUUUUUUCUUUAUUUUCAGCAUGGAGACUUCCUACAUAAAUAAAUGUUGCCCUGAAGCACUUGUAGUCCAGUUGUUACUGCUUUGUGCUAGUGGUGAAGGAUCCCAAAGAGAAUGGAAUAUAAGCCCUGUCCGUCGUGUGGGAGCCCAGCAGAUGGAGCAGUGUUCCUGUGCAUGAGGAGGUGUGGGGCCGCAUCCAGAGCUGCGCUGUGCAGUCGAGCCGAUCUGCCCCAGUGCAUCUAUGAAGCACGGAAUAAAAGUGAUGGAACUGAGCUCUGCUGCUGUGCAAGCACAGCCCGGCCAGGUUACGUGCUGAGGGCUCUGCCUGCCCUUAACUACCUGCCGUGAGUCUCAGCUGGUGCACUCAGAGCACUAGCAGUCAACGUUAACGGUUGAGAUUUUAUCUGCACAAAAAGAAUGAAAUGUGGUUGUGAAGCUGUGAUGAAUAUUUAGGUUGGCGAUUUGUUCUUUUUAUCUAUUUUUUCACCCAGGGAGAUUGACUGCUGAACCACCCUCAUGCAACUGCUAUAUUUUUUGGUUAGAAAAUCCCAGCUUCUAAAGCAUUUCCCAAAGUUGGGCCCCUGUGGUAAUGUAACUCCUUCAGCAUAUUAUGGGAGGUGUAUUUUAGCGGGUCUGGAGGGCUGUCAGGGUGAUGACUCUUAAUGCACUGUGGUAGCCUAUGCUAACUGGGUCUUAAAUUUAUAGACAAGUCUAUAAUUCUGUUUUCUUUGUGUUCAGGAGGCUAACACAGCAGUUUGAGUCAGAAAAGAACAGGAACUAUGGCUAUGGGUGUAUUGAUACAGAUGUGAAAGAUGCAUGUUCAGUAGAAGACUAGGAAAGGAAGGUGGUCUGGAAGACACUGAGAUGCCUAGCUGCUUUCUGAUGUUGGGAGGUCUUCCUUAGUAGCCCAUCAGCUGCUCCAGAGGAACGAGCAGAGCCUGAAGCUUCAAAUACCAAAAUGUGGUGAGCUGAGACCUGGGGUACUGCUGCCUGGAGGAGAUGGGUUGGGGCAUGUGGAACACAGCUGGAUUAGCUCUGCUCCUUUCUCACAGCAAUAGGAGCCAUGAAUCACAGAAUCAUUAAGGUUGGGAAAGAGCACUAAGAUGAUCAUCAAGUCCAACCAUCAACUCAUCACCACCAUGCCCAAUAAGCUAUGUACCUCAGUGCUGCAUUGACCAUUUUCUUGAUUGCCUGUGAUUUAAAAAUCUUCUCUGUGGAGUGGUGGGCGCUGGUUUAAGCAUGUAGGUAUUGGUCAACUGUGGGAGCUGGUGGUGAUUCCUCGAGGCAGUCAUACCCCUUUGCCUGAGGAGUCAGUGGAACAAUCAGAUUUUGGCUUCAGAGAAAUCUUCACUGGCUUGAACAAGUGAGACAUCCACGCUGCUUAUUCUGUGCUUUUAAUGUGCUUAUUGGCCGUUAAUUUAGCAUUUGACAACGAAGCUGGGAAGAGAUUAUAUUAUUUUCCCUUUUCACAUUUUUUCUAUAAAUUUAUUCUUCAUGGCCCUGCAGAAACCAAGCUUCCCCCCUAUUGUUCUUGUUAUUGGCAUUAUACAUAGAUAAAACAAUCUAAGAGAGUAUUUUUCCUAGUUAGGCAGAGCAGAGAUACGAUGUACCAUGGGCGCAUCUGUCAACAUGAUGCCCCUGCCUGUCUUUAUUUUUGCAGUUUGCUUGUGGUCCAUUUAAAAUUAGAUUACAACUGAUUGGUUCCUGCGUUCAAACUACUUCACACAACACUCCAUCCACUGGCGUAUAAAGCAAAGCUGAGGCGACUGGAAAGCCUAAGGGAUCAAUUCCAAAUAUCACUGUGUAAUAAAAACCGUAUUUCCUUAAUUUUUUAUUGAUUC
rnacentral:lncRNA from 1 species